rnacentral:rRNA from 1 species
AGUGAACGCUGGCGGUAGGCCUAACACAUGCAAGUCGAACGGCAGCACAGUAAGAGCUUGCUCUUACGGGUGGCGAGUGGCGGACGGGUGAGGAAUACAUCGGAAUCUACUUUUUCGUGGGGGAUAACGUAGGGAAACUUACGCUAAUACCGCAUACGACCUACGGGUGAAAGCAGGGGAUCUUCUGACUUUGCGCGAAUGAAUGAGCCGAUGUCGGAUUAGCUAGUUGGCGGGGUAAAGGCCCACCAAGGCGACGAUCCGUAGCUGGUCUGAGAGGAUGUUCAGCCACACUAGAACAGAGACACGAUCCAGGAACCUACGCGAGGCAGCAGUGGGGAAUAUUGGACAAUGGGCGCAAGCCUAAUCCAGCCAAACCGCGUGAGUGAAGAAGGGCUUCGGGUUGUAAAACCCUUUUGUUGGGAGAGAAAAGCAGCAGAUUAAUACCCCGCUGUUCUGACGGUACCCGAAGAAUAAGCACCGGCUAACUUCGUG